GCUUAUUAACUGGGGGGAAGGGAGUGCUACUUCAGGCCCGACAUUAUAAAGGCAUUUUCCUUUAAGAGCUUUUCCUGAACUUUUCACACCGGCUUGGCUGUAGGGAGCAGGGCAGAGAGAGCAGCCCCUCAUCCCAGGUCCCAGGAGGGCUACGGCCAGAUGAGCCAUGAGCCUCCAUGACGGACACGAUGUCCUCCAGAGGGCUCCGAGGCCCUGUCACGCAGCUGCAGCGUCCCACACUGUGGCUGACAGAUGAAGAAACUAAAGCACUCAGCUAAUCCUGCAGCAACCUGAACAGAGGCAGGGGCUCCUCUAUGGAGGAAGCACAACCUCCUGAA
rnacentral:lncRNA from 1 species